UUAAAAAAAUAAAGUUGGAGCUUAUUUCAUUCUAGCCCAGACUAUAGAUUCUCUUGUGUCAAGUGAUUUCACCUAAGCGAAGUGAAAAAUCCCUGAGUUUUAUAUUCAAAUCACAUUCUUAACACAUCUAAUAUUCAGCAAUGAUUUAAAUAAUACAUAUAAAUCAGGUGAAUUAUUUCCUCAAAACUGAUUUUUCAUUUUUAUUUUUUUAAGCACAUUUAUACAAGAAAACAAAGGAACCAUAGAACAAUAUUAAUAAAACUACAUGACCAUGUAUUUACAUACAUAUAUUGAUGAGAGCUGGAGGUCUGGGUGUGGAAAUUAAAGAUAGAAACGUUUUUAAGUUUUGACAGUCUCAGUUCUCCAAAAGUUCAUUUUUACUUCAGAGCAAAAUGUUUGUCAAGCACAUUUCAGAUCAAGGUAAAGAAAGAGAGGUGUGGCAGAAGGGAAGAAGGGAUUGAAAGUGAAUCGCUCUAGCGGUUACAUUUAACAAGAGGUGCUGUUAUUCAUAUUUGAUGUGCAUUAUUGUGGGUAAAAAAGAUAAUGACUGGCAUUUUAAUAAUAAUUCUAUUUUUACCUGCUGCUUUCAGUGUAAAUCAAUCGGCUGAUCUUUCUUCUUAUGAGGGUCAGAAUGUGACUCUUCAUUGUUCUCAGAUUGGUACGUCGUAUAAUAGCAUGUACUGGUUCA